AAUCUGAUGGUAGUGAUGAGCCACGUACUGCACAGUGCUUCUGCAGAAUCUUCCACGGAUGACACAAGCACUUCCCCACCCUGUCGUUUUCCUCAGAGAUUCCUCAGAGGCUUGCCUUGUCCGGGAUUCUGCCAAAUCUGGAGAGGAUGCUGUGCUCAGGGAACAGGGAACCAACCAGAAAGCUGAUCGUUCAGAAAAAGGCUGUACAUGGUGCAGCCACAAUAAGAGUUCUUGCUUAUACAGGAAAAACCCAAACCUGUAAAGAAAACCAAAAGAAGUGUAGCCCUGUUUGCCUGAUUUCACCCCAUCAGCCGUCCGUGGGGCCAACAAUUCUGCCGGGUCACAUCUGAGAGCACCAAACCCCUUGCCUGCCAGGGAGGACAGGGUUUGGGGCUCCAUUUCUCCUCUCCCCCAGUGAGACACAGCGGAAGCUCCCUCAGAGAAGCCAUUUUGCCAGCGUCAGGAAUGGGAAGUUCAUUGCACUAAGGAGAGCUGCAGUGAUGAAGCUCACAUGGCCUAGGCCUGUCCUCACCCCCUGCAAAGACUAUUGUGGGACCACAAACCUCUCCUCUCCUGAAUUCCCUUAUGGGCAUCACAGGUGGCUGCAAGAAUGCGGCCAGAGACCAACAGGGGCUCUAACAGACAACUGUGACUUGUGGACAAUGGCCCACACACUUGACCACCCCAAGGAUUGCACCCGAGCCCUAGAAUUGCCAGCAGAGGCAACCCAGUUGACACAUCACAAAACAACAGGAAAGCCUUACCCUAUUGACCCUUG